GAUGAACGCUGGCGGCGUGCCUAAUACAUGCAAGUCGAGCGAACGGACGAGAAGCUUGCUUCUCUGAUGUUAGCGGCGGACGGGUGAGUAACACGUGGAUAACCUACCUAUAAGACUGGGAUAACUUCGGGAAACCGGAGCUAAUACCGGAUGAUAUUUUGAACCGCAUGGUUCAAAAGUGAAAGACGGUCUUGCUGUCACUUAUAGAUGGAUCCGCGCUGCAUUAGCUAGUUGGUAAGGUAAUGGCUUACCAAGGCAACGAUGCAUAGCCGACCUGAGAGGGUGAUCGGCCACACUGGAACUGAGACACGGUCCAGACUCCUACGGGAGGCAGCAGUAGGGAAUCUUCCGCAAUGGGCGAAAGCCUGACGGGGCAACGCCGCGUGAGUGAUGAAGGUCCUCGGAUCGUAAAACUCUGUUAUUAGGGAAGAACAUAUGUGUAAGUAACUGUGCACAUCUUGACGGUACCUAAUCAGAAAGCCACGGCUAACUACGUG
rnacentral:rRNA from 1 species